UAUCAUGCACUGAAUCCAUAGGUGCAUGAGGGGAACCGCCUGAACUGAAACAUCUAAGUAGGGCGAGGAAGAGACAUCAACCGAGAUUCCGUUAGUAGUGGCGAGCGAACGCGGAAGAGGGCAAACCGGAAGGAGAAAUCCUUCCGGGGUACGGACCGCUUUUAGGACCCAAGUUGUUAGCCGAAUGGUGUGGGAAAGCCAUCCAAAGAGUGUGAGAGACACGUAGGCGAAAACGACGAGGGCUGCGCGAGUUCCAGAGUACGGCCAGACACGUGAAACCUGGUCGGAAGACGGGGGGACCACCCUCCAACCCUAAAUACUACCCAGUGACCGAUAGCGUAUAGUACUGUGAAGGAAAGGUGAAAAGGACCCCGGGAGGGGAGUGAAAAAGAACCUGAAACCUUGUGCCUACAAGCACAUAGAGCACAUCAACGUGUGAUAUGGUACUUUUUGUAGAACGGUCCGGCGAGCGAUUGUACGUUGCAAGCUUAAGCACUUAAGGUGCGGAGGCGUAGCGAGAGCGAGUCUGAAUAGGGCGUUCAGUAGCGUGCAAUGGGCCCGAAACCGGGUGACCUACCCAUGAUCAGGCUGAAGUGAAAGUAAAAUUUCAUGGAGGGCCGAACCGACCUCCGUUGAAAAGGCGGCGGAUGAAUUGUGGGUAGCGGAGAAAUUCCAAUCGAACUCGGAGAUAGCUGGUUCUCCCCGAAAUAGCUUUAGGGCUAGCCUCAUGUUAGAUACCCGGAGGUAAAGCACUGAAUGGCCUAGCGCCCGAGAGGGUAGCGAAGCCUAUCAAACUAAGAAUGCCGGUGUAUUGAUGCAUGGGAGUCAGACAGUGUGAGAUAAAUCUCAUUGUCAAAAGGGAAACAGCCCAGAUCUACAGCUAAGGUCCCAAAUUGUAUCUAAGUGGAAAACGAUGUGAAAAUACACAGACAACCAGGAUGUUGGCUCAGAAGCAGCCACUCAUUUAAAGAGUGCGUAAUAGCUCACUGGUCGAGCGUCUUUGCGCGGAAAAUUUAACGGGGCUAAGAUACAAACCGAAGCUUAGGCUGCACGUAAGUGCGGGGUAGGGGAGCGUUGUGUAAGCGGAGAAACAGUAGCGUAAGCGGCUGUGGAGUUUACAGAAGUGAGAAUGCCGGAAUGAGUAGCGCGAAUGAGGUGAGAAUCCUCAUGGCCGGAAACCUCAGGUUUUUGGAGGAAGGUUCGUCCGCUCCAAGUUAGGCGGGAGCUAAGGUGAGGCCGAAAGGCGUAGCCGAUGCACAGACGGUAGAGAUUCCGUCCCCACCGAAAGAUUUAAGCGCAGGGACACUU
rnacentral:rRNA from 1 species